rnacentral:rRNA from 1 species
UACGUCGGAUCCGAGCGUUGUCCGGCUUUACUGGGUGUAAAGGGUGCGCAGGCGGACUGGUAAGUCAGAGGUGAAAUCUCGUCGCUUAACGACGAAACUGCCUUUGAUACUAUCAGUCUUGAAUCCGGUAGAGAUCUGUGGAAUUCCGAGUGUAGCAGUGAAAUGUGUAGAUAUUCGGAAGAACACCAGUGGCGAAGGCAGCAGAUUGGGCCGGUAUUGACGCUCAGGCACGAAAGCAUGGGGAUCAAACAGG